rnacentral:rRNA from 1 species
AUACGGAGGGUGCAAGCGUUAAUCGGAAUUACUGGGCGUAAAGCGCGCGUAGGCGGCUGAUUAAGUCGGAUGUGAAAUCCCUGGGCUCAACCUAGGAACUGCAUCCGAUACUGGUCAGCUAGAGUUUUGGAGAGGUAAGUGGAAUUUCCGGUGUAGCGGUGAAAUGCAUAGAGAUCGGAAGGAACACCAGUGGCGAAGGCGACUUAUUGGCCAAAAACUGACGCUGAGGUGCGAAAGCGUGGGUAGCGAACAGGAUUAGAAACCCUAGUAGUCC